CACUUGUGUUAGAGCAGAAAUAUAUCAGUGUUAGGGCAGAUGAUAAACAAGUUGUUAGCUGUAGUCUAAUGUCAUUUUCAGGCCUGGACUUCUGCAUAGCACAGUGGUAUUUCUUAUAUGACAGAAUUAUUCUGAAAUGUCUUAAUGGAGUCCAGAAAUAAACACCUGUGGAUUUCUGUAUGUGUUUUUAGACUUGAUAGCUCUUAAAUAUCUAACAAUGUCCACUUAUAAUCACGGAACUGAAACUAUACAUAAAUAUUAAGACAUACUUGGUUUAUACAACUGUUAAGAGUCAGGAGGAUGUGGUAGGAGGUGUGAUUGUUGCUGCAGGUGAUGGUGAGGAAAUAAAUAGUUGUAAAAAUUUAGAUCUGAAAGAAUUCACAUGUUAACAAGAAAUCCAGGUUUAGUAGGGAGAGUAUAGAAACUCUUGAUGUGUUCAGGAAAAAAA